GUGCUCGCUUCGGCAGCACAUACACUAAAAUUGGAACAAUACAGAGAUUUGCAUGGCCCCUUGCACAAGGCUGACAUGCAAAAUCAAAUAAGUUAAUAUUGAUUG